UACGUAGGGUGCAAGCGUUAAUCGGAAUUACUGGGCGUAAAGCGCACGUAGGCGGCUUUUUAAGUCAGGGGUGAAAUCCCGGGGCUCAACCUCGGAACUGCCUUUGAUACUGCAAAUCUCGAGUCCGGAAGAGGUGAGUGGAAUUCCUAGUGUAGAGGUGAAAUUCGUAGAUAUUAGGAAGAACACCAGUGGCGAAGGCGGCUCACUGGUCCGGUACUGACGCUGAGGUGCGAAAGCGUGGGGAGCAAACAGG
rnacentral:rRNA from 1 species